UUAUAAUUUCAAUUGUUGCUAAUAUUGGGGGGGGAGGGAGUGGGGAGCACUUGCCCCAUGUCCCACCCCGUGCUACAGCCCUGAUUUCUAAUCAAUACAUCAUACAUUUUAAUCUCUAUAUUUUAAUGCAAAAGGUGUUUCCAUAUCAACUCUUUGGAGGCUUCGUAACAAAUACGACAUUGACAUUGGCAAGAAAAGGAAAGCUAGAACAGUGUCCGAGCAGGAGCUGGAGGGGAUUAUCCUUGAAUUGCAACAAACUUCUCCAAACAUUGGAAUAAGGAUGAUAGAGGGGGAAAUCAUAUCACGAGGACUCUACGCUGCUAGAUCUAACAUAGCUAACAAGCUGGUGGAGAUGGACCCCGUAGGACGGGUGCUGCAAUGGAGCAGACAGAAUCCCAGAACGAAAUACCACGUACCAGGGCCUAAUAGUUUGUGGCAUCUUGAUGGCAAUCACAAGCUUAUACGGUAAACUAUGGCCUACUCGUCUUUAAAUCUCUAUAGUUACAGUUGUACUUCUAGUCAUACCGACAAAAAGCAAUGUCAGGGGAGGGCGUACGUGCCUUUAAGACAUCAAAGAAUGUUGCCUCCUUUCAAGGGAUGCUUCAAAGCUUCUCUUGCAAGGACGCAACUAACACGAUGACUACAACUGGACGACGGAAUUUAAUGGACCAACUUGCGAAUCCUCAUGCACCUGUUGCUGUAACCCCUCGGCCAGCAAGUGAUGUUGUUACCGCAAAUCAAAGACCAGGAACAAGACUCCAAUGUUUAAAAAUUUGACUAUCAUGUAUAUAUAGAGUUAAUUAUAGUAUUUUUACAAUUUUUACAAAGAAAAUUCAGUUUUUACAAUUACAAUAAUAAGAUUAUCAAUAGGGAUAUGACUGGAUGGAAACAAAUGUACAUCUUGUUUAAAAUACAUGGUUGAAGGUAUCAUGUGUCUGUCAUGUUAAAGUAGGACAAAGCCACCAUGACAAUCACCCGUGUUCUGCCAAUUCAUCGAAUUUUACAGACUAUUAGUCAGGUGGGGGACUUUAACAACAAUGGCUUUUUAUGGUUUACUGAUAUCAUAGGACAACACUGCCGCAAUCCCAAGGUACUGAUUUAGUGUCUAAUAGUCGGUACUAUGACGUAAUAAAGUUGAUGCAUCCGGUGCCAGAGGAGAUAGUGAUUGGCAUGUGUGA